rnacentral:rRNA from 1 species
GUAAGUUGUAAAGGGCGCACGGUGGAUGCCUAGGUGCCAGGAACCGAUGAAGGACGUGGCCAGCUGCGAAAAGCUGUGGGGAGCUGCAAGCGAGCAUAGAUCCACAGAUGUCCGAAUGGGAGAACCUGGUAUGCGAUAAACGCAUAUCAUCCUUAACUGAAUACAUAGGUUAAGUGACGGGAACUCAGGGAAUUGAACCAUCUUAGUACCUGAAGGAAGAUAAAGUAAUAACGAUUCCCAUAGUAGCGGCGAGCGAAUUGGGAACAGCCUAAACCGACCAUGGUGUUAAAGCCUGGCAGCGUUGCCUGGUCGGUGUCGUGGGAUCAUUAGUUCUGUCGUGUCAGCGGCAGGGAUGUUGACCUGGCUCAUGUAGUCGAAGCAGUCUGGAAAGGCUCACAAAAUAAGGUGAUAGUCCUGUAGACGGCACAUGAGGGGCGACAUGUAAUGACACCCGAGUACUACGGGAUCUGGGAAAGCCCGUGGGAAUUAGCGAGGACCGUCUCGUAAGGCUAAAUAUUACCUGGCGACCGAUAGUGUAGCAGUACCGUGAGGGAAAGGUGAAAAGCAUGCCGGUGAGGCAAGUGAAAUAGAACCUGAAACCGUGUGCCUACAAUCAGUCAGAGGGCUAUGCAGUUCUUCGGAGCUGAAUGCCUGAUGGCGUGCCUAUAGAAGAAUGAUCCGACGAGUUACUGUAUGUAGCGAGGUUAAGCCGUUAAUGGCGGAGCCGCAGCGAAAGCGAGUCUGAAUAGGGCGAUAGUUGCAUAUAGUAGACCCGAAACCAGGUGAGCUACCCUUGGCCAGGAUGAAGCUUUGGUAACACAAAGUGGAGGUCCGAAUGCCUCAACGUUGAAAAGUUGAGUAAUGAGCUGUGGGUAGGGGUGAAAAGCCAAUCGAACCUGGAGAUAGCUGGUUCUCCCCGAAAUAGUUUUAGGACUAGCCUCGGAAAAGAAUCUGAUGGGGGUAAAGCACUGGAUGGGCUAGGGGGCACACCAGCUUACCAACCCCAACCAAACUCUGAAUACCAUCAGAUGUUCUCCGGGAGUCAGGCACAGUGAGAUAAGUUUCUGUGUCGCGAGGGAAACAGCCCAGACCGUCGGUUAAGGUCCCAAAGUAUAUGCUGAGUGGGAAAGGAUGUGGAGGUCCUCAGACAGCCAGGAGGUUGGCUUAGAAGCAGCCAUUCCUUUAAAGAGUGCGUAAUAGCUCACUGGUCGAGGGCUUCUGCGCCGAAAAUGUAACGGGGCUAAGCAUAUCACCGAAGCCACGGGUCUAGUAGUAUUUCGAUACUAUUGGGCGGUAGGGGAGCGUUCUGCCGUAGGAAGAAGGCAUACCGCGAGGAGUGCUGGACGAAGCAGAAGUGAGAAUGUCGGAACGAGUAGCGAUAAGACGGGUGAGAAACCCGUUCGCCGUAAACCUAAGGUUUCCUGGGGAAGGUUAAUCCUCCCAGGGUUAGUCGGUCCUAAGCUGAGGCCGAGAGGCGUAGGUGAAGGGAAACAGGUUAAUAUUCCGUACCAUGGUCAGUUGUUCUAUCGAUGGAGUGACGCAGGAGGUUAUACCCGCACGGAAAGAAAUUGCCGUGUCGAACGGUGUAGGCAGUGAUCGCAGGCAAAUCCGCGGUUGCUAUCAAGCUGAGGCCGGACAGGCCACCGAAUUAAGUAGGUGGAAGGAGUAGAUACCACGCUGCCGAGAAAAGCUUCUAAGAGAGACUGAUUGUGACCGUACCGUAAACCGACACAGGUGGGUGAGGAGAAUAUCCUAAGGCGCUCGAAAGAACCCACGUUAAGGAACUCGGCAAAUUAACUCCGUAACUUCGGGAGAAGGAGUGCUCCGGUAGGGUGACUGGAAUACAUAGGAAACUUUGUAUCGAAAGGUAGCCCGAUGGAGUCGCAGAGAAUAGGCUCAGGCGACUGUUUAUCAAAAACACAGGACUCUGCUAAAGCGAAUAGCCGACGUAUAGGGUCUGAUGCCUGCCCAAUGCUGGAAGGUUACGGGGAGGAGUCAGGAGUGGUAACAUUCCGAAGCUCUGAACUUAAGCCCCAGUGAAUGGCGGCCGUAACUAUAACGGUCCUAAGGUAGCGAAAUCCCUUGUCAGGUAAGUUCUGACCCGCAUGAAUGGCUUAACGGUCUGAGCACUGUCUCAACGUGGGGUUCGGCGAAACUGUGCACCGGGUGAAGACGCCCGGUAUCCGCAUCAGGACAAAAAGACCCCGUGGAGCUUUACUGUAUCUUGAUAUUGGAUUUUGGCCUGUUAUGUAGAGCAUAGGUGGGAGACUAUGAAGUUAGGGCGCCAGCCUUGGCGGAGUCGACAAUGGAAUACCACCCUUAUCAGUCUGGAAUUCUAACCUUGGCCCGUUGAUCCGGGUCGGGGACAGUGUCAGGUGGGCAGUUUGACUGGGGCGGUCGCCUCCUAAAGAGUAAC